rnacentral:rRNA from 1 species
CGCAAGAAAGAGGAUAGUGUUUAUUAGAUACAGAACCAAUACACCAUCUGUUUAUCAGGUGGUGUAAAAAAGGUGAUUCAUAGUAACCGAACGGAUCGCAUUAUGGUCAUUUUAUAUGGCUGGCGAUAGAUCAUUCAAGUUUCUGACCUAUCAGCUUUCGACGGUAGUGUAUUGGACUACCGUGGCAGUGACGGGUAACGGGGAAUUAGGGUUCGAUUCCGGAGAGGGAGCCUGAGAAACGGCUACCACAUCUAAGGAAGGCAGCAGGCGCGCAAAUUACCCAAUCCUGACUCAGGGAGGUAGUGACAAGAAAUAACAACACUGGAAAUUUUAUUUCUAGUGAUUGGAAUGAUGGGAAUUUAAACCCCUUUCAGAGUAACAAUUGGAGGGCAAGUCUGGUGCCAGCAGCCGCGGUAAUUCCAGCUCCAAUAGCGUAUAUUAAAGUUGUUGCAGUUAAAAAGCUCGUAGUUGGAUGUCUGCUGGAAGCAAUCAGUCCGCCCUAUUUGUAGGGUGUGCACUUGAUGAAUUCUGGCAUCUAUGUCCCAAUAAUGUGGUGGUGUAUACCCUGUGUAUUACCCAUCUAUAUUGGGAUAAUACCGUUACUUUGAGAAAAUUAGAGUGUUUGAAGCAGGCUAAUUGCCUUGAAUACUGCAGCAUGGAAUAACAAUAUAGGAUUUCGGUUCUAUUUUGUUGGUUUCUAGGACUGAAAUAAUGAUUAAUAGGGACAGUUGGGGGCAUUCGUAUUUAACUGUCAGAGG